GCCGCAUUUGCACACCAAGGUGGCAUACUGAAGGGGUAUCAAGACCAGUUGUGCGACCUAUGAGCUGCUAACGAACAACUGGUCUUGACCCACUACAUUCGCUCACUACCUGCUCAUCAAGCUAAACUGAUCCGUGAAGUAUUCGAAUAUCCAGCGGGUGGUCUCAAUAUUUCAAUCCAGUUGCUUCACUUACUCCAGUGCCAUCGGUCAGCAGUGGAUUAUGCAGUGCAGUUCAGGAUGUUAGUAUCUCAAAGCAGGUGGAAUGAUGGGGCUCUAAAUAUUGUUUUCCAUGAGGGGCUGAAAUACAAACUCAAAGCUGAACUUUCAUGCAAGGGUGAAGAUGCCACUCUUUCAGAAUUCAUUACUAUGGUAAUCAAGAUGGAUAAUCUGCUUCGUAAUGGUCGUCCACAGUCUACAGUCUCAAUACAAGCCCAAGCAUUCCCUGAAUCACCUGAACCCAUGCAGUUUGCAUUCACACGGUUUUCCAAUGAAGACUGCCAAUGCCGACACAAAGAACAUCUCUGCUAUUACUAUGGUGAAUCCUGUCAUCUCAAUGCUUCCUGCCCACACAAGAAAUCUAGUCCACCAGAGUCAAGAUGGAAACAUUAGUGGAUUCUGGAGCUGCUGUAAAUCUCGUUCAUCAAGAUCUGCUACAAGAACUCAAUAUACGCACAGCACAAUGUAUCGCUUCCAUCAAUAUCCCCACUGUCAACAACACUCCGAUUGGUUCUGGUAUAACACAACAAACUGUUCCUGUAACACUCAGGAUUAGAAUAUUUCAUUAUUUCAUAUUGAAAACAUCUUUCUAUAUGUCAUUAACUCUCCCAAACAUGCUAUCAUCUUGGGCCAUCCCUGGCUGGCCAUCCACAAUCCAUCGAUCUCCUGGAACCAGGGAGAGCUGGUCAGAUUUUUGUCAAGAACAUUGUCUUCAUGUCACUGUUGCCAUGUCAUGUUUAACCACCAGCACAGAAAGUGUUUAGUAAGGCCAAAGCCACACAACUUGCCCCUCAUCUCCUUUGAGACUGUCAUUGAGCUGUUACCCAACACGGACCCACUGAAAAGUAAAGCUUACCCAUUGUCACGACCCAAAGCUCUAGCCCUGGUAACUUACAUUGAAGAAGCUCUUGCCUCUGGUUUCAUUCGUCCAUCCAGCCCUCCUGCAGCAGCUGGCUUUUUCUUUGUGGAAAAAAACCAUGGAAGACUACGCCCAUGCAUUGACUACCGAGGUUUGAACACAGUCAUGGUUAAAUAUCGCUACCCACUGCCACUCAUCCCUUCAGCACUAGAACAACUCCAUGAGGCACAAAUCUAUACUAAGCUUGAUCUAAGAAGUGUAUACAACCAUGUCAGGAUUAGAGAAGGGGAUGAGUGGAAGACUGCAUUUAUCACCACUAGGGGGCACUAUAAAUAUCUAGUGAUACCAUAUGAGAUUUUCAGAGAUCUACUGAACCACUGUGUAGUGGCUUACAUCGACAACAUCCUCAUCUACUCACAGAGCAAGGAGGAAGAUGUCAAGCAUGUCAAGACAGUCCUGUCAUGUCUUCAGAAACACCAACUAUAUAUCAAGGCAAAGAAAUGAGAGUUUUAUACUUACCACUGUCUUUGGUUACAAUAUCAGCCACCAGGGUGUCGAGAUGGAUGUCACAAAGGUCACAGAAUGGCCAAGACCAAACAUUGUGAAAGAACUGCAAUGAUUCCUGGGCUUCGCUAACUUUUAUCGUCGCUUCAUACACAACUGCAGCAUCAUUGCAGCUCCACUCACAUCACUGCUGAAUGGCAAACCCUCCAAGUUACCAUGGAAUGAUGCAGCCAACCAUGCCUUAAUCUCCCUAAAAUCCAGCUUCACAACUGCUCCCAUACUCAAACACCCAGAUCCCAAUCUCC
ensembl:lncRNA